rnacentral:rRNA from 1 species
AUUGAACGCUGGCGGCAUGCCUUACACAUGCAAGUCGAACGGCAGCGCGGGAGCAAUCCUGGUGGCGAGUGGCGAACGGGUGAGUAAUACAUCGGAACGUGCCCAGUCGUGGGGGAUAACGUAGCGAAAGCUACGCUAAUACCGCAUACGAUCUGUGGAUGAAAGCGGGGGACCGUAAGGCCUCGCGCGAUUGGAGCGGC